UACAGCCAUAGCACGUAACACUAGUUAUCGUAUGAUCACCGAAGUUAAACAAGGUCGAGCCUGGUCAGUACCUAGAUAGGUGAUCGCUUGGGAAUACCAGGUGCUGUAAG